rnacentral:rRNA from 1 species
UACAGAGGUCUCGAGCGUUGUUCGGAUUCAUUGGGCGUAAAGGGUGCGUAGGUGGCAAGGUAAGUCGGAUGUGAAAUCUCGGGGCUCAACCCCGAAACUGCAUUCGAUACUGCCUGGCUAGAGUACUGGAGAGGAGAUUGGAAUUUACGGUGUAGCAGUGAAAUGCGUAGAUAUCGUAAGGAAGACCAGUGGCGAAGGCGGAUCUCUGGACAGUUACUGACACUGAGGCACGAAGGCCAGGGGAGCAAACGGG